GGAGAGAUGGCUCAGCAGUUAAAAGCCCUGGCUGCUCUUCCAGAGGAUCUGGGUUCAGUUCCCAGCUUCUCCA
rnacentral:tRNA from 1 species